UCUAAGUUGUUGUUUAGAUGAGGUGUAGUUAUCAUGGUCAGGUCAUAUUGACUAAGUUGUUGUUUAGAUGAGGUGUAGUUAUCAUGGUCUCGUCAUAUUGACUAAGUUGUUGUUUAGAUGAGGUGUAGUUAUCAUGGUCAGGUCAUAUUGACUAAGUUGUUGUUUAGAUGAGGUGUAGUUAUCAUGGUCAGGUCAUAUUGACUAAGUUGUUGUUUAGAUGAGGUGUAGUUAUCAUGGUCAGGUCAUAUUGACUAAGUUGUUGUUUAGAUGAGGUGUAGUUAUCAUGGUCAGGUCAUAUUGACUAAGUUGUUGUUUAGAUGAGGUGUAGUUAUCAUGGUCUCGUCAUAUUGACUAAGUUGUUGUUUAGAUGAGGUGUAGUUAUCAUGGUCAGGUCAUAUUGACUAAGUUGUUGUUUAGAUGAGGUGUAGUUAUCAUGGUCUCGUCAUAUUGACUAAGUUGUUGUUUAGAUGAGGUGUAGUUAUCAUGGUCAGGUCAUAUUGACUAAGUUGUUGUUUAGAUGAGGUGUAGUUAUCAUGGUCUCGUCAUAUUGACUAAGUUGUUGUUUAGAUGAGGUGUAGUUAUCAUGGUCAGGUCAUAUUGACUAAGUUGUUGUUUAGAUGAGGUGUAGUUAUCAUGGUCAGGUCAUAUUGACUAAGUUGUUGUUUAGAUGAGGUGUAGUUAUCAUGGUCAGGUCAUAUUGACUAAGUUGUUGUUUAGAUGAGGUGUAGUUAUCAUGGUCUCGUCAUAUUGACUAAGUUGUUGUUUAGAUGAGGUGUAGUUAUCAUGGUCAGGUCAUAUUGACUAAGUUGUUGUUUAGAUGAGGUGUAGUUAUCAUGGUCUCGUCAUAUUGACUAAGUUGUUGUUUAGAUGAGGUGUAGUUAUCAUGGUCUAGUCAUAUUGACUAAGUUGUUGUUUAGAUGAGGUGUAGUUAUCAUGGUCUAGUCAUAUUGACUAAGUUGUUGUUUAGAUGAGGUGUAGUUAUCAUGGUCUAGUCAUAUUGACUAAGUUGUUGUUUAGAUGAGGUGUAGUUAUCAUGGUCUAGUCAUAUUGACUAAGUUGUUGUUUAGAUGAGGUGUAGUUAUCAUGGUCAGGUCAUAUUGACUAAGUUGUUGUUUAGAUGAGGUGUAGUUAUCAUGGUCUCGUCAUAUUGACUAAGUUGUUGUUUAGAUGAGGUGUAGUUAUCAUGGUCAGGUCAUAUUGACUAAGUUGUUGUUUAGAUGAGGUGUAGUUAUCAUGGUCAGGUCAUAUUGACUAAGUUGUUGUUUAGAUGAGGUGUAGUUAUCAUGGUCAACUGUUCGACUAGGUUGUUAUGAAGAUGGGGAGGGGUAUUGUCUGUUAUAACAAAAUAUGUUAUGUGUUUCUGACACAAAGAUCAACUGUACUAGUUGUCCAGACUCUGGUCUUGUCCCAUCUUGAUGACUGUCUGGUAAUAUGGUCAGGUGCAGAAAAGAAAGACCUAGCAAAGCCGUCUCAAAACAAAACAGCACGUCUUGCCCUUUAACUACACACAUAUAACUAACAUCAACAACAUGGAUGAUAGUCUUUAUGGUUGAGGGUUGAAGAGAAGUGGACAACGUCUUGUCUUAAGAAAUAUUUGUGUGUUAAAUCCCGAACCACUUGUAUAUUGUGUUUGUUUACAC